GACAGAGGGUGCAAACGUUGUUCGGAAUUACUGGGCGUAAAGCGUGUGUAGGCGGCUCUGCAAGCCGGAUGUGAAAGCCCCGGGCUCAACCUGGGAAGUGCACUCGAAACUGCUGAGCUUGAGUAUCGGAGAGGUUGGUGGAAUUCUCGGUGGAGAGGUGAAAUUCGUAGAUAUCGAGGGGAACACCAGUGGCGAAGGCGGCCAACUGGACGAAUACUGACGCUGAGACACGAAAGCGUGGGGAGCAAACAGG
rnacentral:rRNA from 1 species